rnacentral:rRNA from 1 species
GAUGAACGCUGGCGGCGUGCUUAACACAUGCAAGUCGAACGAUGAACCCGGAGCUUGCUCCGGUGGAUUAGUGGCGAACGGGUGAGUAACACGUGAGUAACCUGCCCUUGACUCUGGGAUAACUGCGGGAAACUGUAGCUAAUACCGGAUACGACCCUCGGCGGCAUCGCCAGGGGGUGGAAAGAAUUUCGGUCAAGGAUGGACUCGCGGCCUAUGAGCUAGUUGGUGAGGUAACGGCUCACCAAGGCGACGACGGGUAGCCGGCCUGAGAGGGGAACCGGGCACACUGGGACAGAGACACGGCCCAGAGUCCUGCGGGAGGCAGCAGUGGGGAAGAGUGCACAAUGGGCGCAAGCCGGAUGCAGCAACGCCGCGUGAGGGAUGACGGCCUUCGGGUUGUAAACCUCUUUUAGUAGGGAAGAAGCGAAAGUGACGGUACCUGCAGAAAAAGCACCGGCUAACUACGUGCCAGCCGCCGCCGUAA